rnacentral:rRNA from 1 species
AUUGAACGCUGGCGGCAUGCUUUACACAUGCAAGUCGGACGCGUGGCGAACGGGUGAGUAACGCAUCGGCACGUACCGAGUAAUGGGGGAUAACUGUCCGAAAGGCCAGCUAAUCCCGCAUAUUAUUCGAGCGGCCGAUGUCUGAUUAGCUGGUUGGCGGGGUAAAGGCCCACCAGGGCGACGAUCAGUAGCGGGUCUGAGAUGAUGAUACGCCAAACGGGGACUGAGAAACGGCCCAGACGCCUACGGGAGGCAGCAGUGGGGAAUGUUGGACAAGGGGCGAAAGCCUGAUCCAGCCAGGCCGAGUGUCUGAAGAAGGCCUUCGGGUUGGAAAGGACUUUUGUGAGGGAAGCGGUACCUGAAGAAUAAGCACCGGCUAACUACGUGCCAGCAGCCGCGGUAAUAC